GUGAGGAAUAUUGGACAAUGGGCGCAAGCCUGAUCCAGCCAUGCCGCGUGCAGGAAGACGCAUCUAUGGUGUGUAAACUGCUUUUGUACGGGAAGAAACACUCCCUCGUGAGGGAGCUUGACGGUACCGUAAGAAUAAGGAUCGGCUAACUCCGUGCCAGCAGCCGCGGUAAUACGGAGGAUCCAAGCGGUAUCCGGAAUCAUUGGGUUUAAAGGGUCCGUAGGCGGUUUAAUAAGUCAGUGGUGAAAGCCCAUCGCUCAACGAUGGAACGGCCAUUGAUACUGUUAGACUUGAAUUACAAGGAAGUAACUAGAAUAUGUAGUGUAGCGGUGAAAUGCUUAGAUAUUACAUGGAAUACCAAUUGCGAAGGCAGGUUACUACUUGUGGAUUGACGCUGAUGGACGAAAGCGUGGGGAGCGAACAGGAUUAGAAACCCGAGUAGUCC
rnacentral:rRNA from 1 species